rnacentral:lncRNA from 1 species
GGAAGCCAGGGGAAGUGAUUGAUUUAUGGGGGCAGGUCUUUCCCAUGCUGUUCCUGUGAUGGUGAAUGAGUCUCAUGAGAUCUGAUGGUUUUAAACAUGAGAGUUUCUCUGCAUAAGCUCUCUCUUUGCCUGCCACCACGCUCAUAAGAUGUGACUUCCUCCUCCUUGCCUUCUACCAUGAUUGUGAGGCCUCCCUAGCCAUGUUGAACUGUGAGUCCAAUUAAACCUCUUUAUUUUGUAAAUUGCCCAGUAUGUCUUUGUCAGCAGUGUGAAAUGGACUAAUACAAAGUCUUUGCCUAAGCCUUAUAGUAUAGUUUGAAGUGAAGUGAAAAGUGAAGCCAGGUAUUACAAGAAAUGAAGCAGUAUCUUCAAACAUACUUUCUGGUGCCCAAAUGAGAGAGUUUUUGCCAAUAUGCCAAUAUUCUGGCUGUGUGUGGUGGCUCAUGCCUGUAAUCCGAGCACUUUGGAAGGCCGAGACAGGUGGAUCACCUGAGGUCAGGAGUUUGUGGCCACCCUGGACAACAUGGCAAAACCCCAUCUCUACUAAAAAUACAAAAAUUAGCAGGUGUUGUGGCACUCAUCUGUAAUCCUAGGUACUCCGGAGGGUGAGACAGCAGCAUUGCUUGAAACCAGGAGACAGAGGUUGCAGUGAGCAAGAUCAUGCCACUGCACUCCAGCCUGGGCGACAGAGCAAGACUCUGUCUCAAAAGAAAAAAAAAUGUAGAUUCUCAUGAUUUUUUAUUUUACAAAACAAUAUGAUUAUUAAUAAAACAGUUUGACUUUUUUCCUUCCA